GUCAUUAGUCGAGUUGAAAUAGGUGGCAGCGUUGGUGAGAGCGCAUGACGCCCGUCCGAAUUGGAUUUUCAACGUGCGUUCUAGCGUGUGUUUUUGUGUGCAGCUGUUUUAUAUAUGCUAAAAAUAUAAAUUAGUGAACAAAAUAUAUAACCUGUGCAUCAAAUAUAAGGCGGUGAAAAAUUAUAAUAUUCAAAAUCAUGUUCAAUGCAUAAGGGAGCUUUUUGUGUGAACGGAGAAACGAAACAAAUCAAAAGUAAUGGUGAUUGUGCACAGAAAGGUUUGCGUUUGAUGUCGACAAAGUUCGAUGGUGGAAUAUCGUUUUGAUUCCGAUCACGGAGAAGUUUGCACUGCAUGGUCAAAUUGUGUGUGAAUGAAAGAUACCAUUAGCAGCAGCGCACGUGCGAUAGAAUGCGACACAUGAUGUAGGUCGUAUACGUGAACCGUGGUGAAAGCGAGAGAGUCUAUGAAUGAGCGUGAGAACGAAUAGAGCGUGAGAUAGAGAUACCGUGUGUUACUCUACUGCAAACGAGAAAUACAAAAGCGAUAAAAAUGGUUUGCAAAAAUGAAGGGAUCUGUGUAUUUUUGUAACGAAGAAGCAAAACAAAAGAUUAAAAGCAAGAGAAAGGUGCCAGUGCGAAAACAAAUUUAUCCAAUGUUAACCCAUGAUCCAGUUGAAUGUAUGUGAAUGAGGAUAUGAUGGCUUCAGUUAGGUCGAUAUGUGCUUGAGAGUGUUCUUAAAAGUUUUAAACGGCUUUAAUGCCAAAAGUGAAUCUCGAAGAUACAAAAUUGAAUCUCAUGAUAAACGGCGAUAAGAAAUGGCACAGUGAAAGUAUUUCCGAAAAUAUCACAGAAUCGAUGACAAACAAAACCAAUUAAAUGGAUCUUCUUAUCUUGGGAAACGUCAGACCAACCUGUUUGCAACGCAUCAAACGCACUAGGGAAAAAGCGAAAAGGUAAAUCAGCGAUGUCGUGCAUCAUCUUCUGUAAAAGUAACAUUUGCUUCUGCUUUCUUAUCAACGAACCAACAAAGUGAAUCUGUGAUUGGAGUUUCUUGUGGUACAUUUUCUUGGCGAGUGUUGAAAGAGCAUGCACAUAGAUCCUACAACACAGAAAGCUGGAAGCAAUGUGUUGAUGUAGGCUUUCAAUCUAAGCGGUAUUCUCGACCAGCGAUACAAAUUUAUUCAAAUUGUGUAGAAAAGUCCCCCAUUCAUGUUUCUUAUUUGGACAAAACAUCAAGGAAUGAUAAAUCUCGAUCUCGGUUGUCCCAUGAACGUUGAAACUAAGAUUGUGAGAGUCAAAAUAUGCGUGCAAUGACGAGAGGACAAUGUAGACUGCAGGUUUAGAGCAGUGAAUUUGUAAUUUCCAUUUUACUUCUUUUGCCUGAUCGUAAAACAGGCUAACAUAGGAAUCAGAGCCGCACCGUGCAAAGGCAAAUACGUUUGUUACAUGUUUCGUAUUUUCCAAAAUUCUGUUUGGGCUUGGCAAGAAGUCGUUUGCAAAAUCUGUGUGAUGGUACGUUCUAUCCUCUCGGAUAGUUCAAGGGCUGAAGCAGAAUGACAGACAUUUCUUCUAUUUCGGUUUAUUAAGAUAUUCAAAUCAACCCAACUCGGCACUUUGGUGUCUUGUCAGAGUGACUAGACCGAGCAUGCUGUAUAAUCCGAAGAAAUGGCUACGUUCCGUCCUUGGUUGGCCGCUUGUGUUGCAGAGCUGGGUCAAGACAGAUAAGCAAAGACAGGACCAGAAGAAUGCUGUGAGAUGGCAUCAUUGGGUGAUAUUAUACUGGACAUUUUAUGUUCGUCGUUAGCAGUGGAAUCUUAGGAGGGUGAUUAGAUUAUGAAGUGGUUUGGAGUCAGAAGUCGGAGGUAGUGUAGAAGCGUUAUGAGUUACGAUCAUGGUGAAUAUGCAUCAGAAGCAAAUUGUAAUGAGUGUUGACAAUGUAU